rnacentral:lncRNA from 1 species
AUGAGUACCCCUGAAGGACGUAGCUGUUCAUCCUUUCAUCAACACUUAGAGCCUGAGAGGUUACGCAGCGUCCUCUGGAAAAAUACCAGACCCGCACGGACACCCACAUGCAGCAGGAGAGGAGGAAGUUUCUGUGCUUCCCGCUGGGAUGGCUCCCUCGUUUCAUCCUUUAUUCUCUCAGGAUGGUUUCUGCUGUCGUACGACGGACCUGUCAACAACAUGUGUCCCGCCCUGCUUCACUCAUCACUCUGCGACCAGAACAGGGUUUCAUCUUACUGCUCUCUCUUUGUUUCCUCCUCUAAUAUAAUUUAUAUGCCUGCUCAGCUGAAACCGUGCAGCUGGAUCAUUAUUCAUGAAGUCGAACAUCGCUGCACAGCAUUAUUACACGUAAUCCGUUUCAUCUGUAAUUCCUUCCUGAAGUUACAAUUGUGCAAACAGAUCAACCAAAAGUUUAUGAAGGCAUGCCUAUCCCUUCCCUCUUGCUUCCACGUUCACCGACUAAUGUUCUCGUCCACUCCCACGCAUGUGUGAAGGUGACGUUGAGGUGGGAGUUUUCCUCGCUCAUUGAGAGUCUAUAGGUUGAAGGGGUCACAGCAUGAAUUCGUUGUUCCCGUAACGUGGGAGUUGGGAAGCCCUUUGAGACUGCAACAGUGACUAACAAGGCUGCAUGAAAUAAACUUGCAGAUCCGCGCGUCCCUGGCUGCUGAUAAAAUUAGGACCGAGGUGUAGAGAGCGGAGCCGAGCGUGGGUUGUUCUGAUGGGAGGAGGACAUUCAGCAGAUGUGGUGGUUAAGCAAAACAAUCAUGAGAAAUUUGUACAAUUAGAGGAAAACAGACUGAACGAUUUUUUGGUGUUCACCAACUUUCAGGUUUACUUCAGGCUUGAGAUCGGUUGAUGCAGGGCUGAAGAGUUACAGGAGCAGCUCAGGUAUUCUGUAGCAAUCCUUUAAACGCGGAUGUAACUUCCUGCUUCUGCAGCUUCAAAGGAAGUAAAGGUGGUGCAUUUUACACUCUUCAUUAGUGAUAACACCGUUGCAUUAACAUGAUUUUCAAAAUUCAGCAAUAAUUAGAUAGACUUGGUCCUCAUCCAUCCAUUUUCUUCCACACAGCCUAAGUCAGGGUAGGCAACUCUGGUCCGAGAGAGCCGCAGUCCUGCUCCUUUUUCAACUAUCUGUGUUGCUCCUGCUGUUGAUUACCUGGAUCAGGUGUGUUCAGCCGAUUAGAAGCUGCAAGUUCAUGCAUGGCUAGAAAACAUGCAGGACUACAGCUCUCUAGGACCAGGGACUUCCCUCUCCCCAGCCACUUGGGCCAGCUCUUCCAGGGGAAUCCCAAAGCGUUCCCAGGCCAGGUGAGAGACAUGGUCCCUCCAGCAUGUCCUGGGUCUUCCUUUAGGCCUCCUCCCAGUUGGAUGUGCCGGGAAGACCUCACCAGGGAGGCGUCCAGGAGGCAUCCUAAUCAGAUGCCCCAGCCACCUCAACUGGCUCCUCUCGAUGUCCUCAUGUCAGUUUUAACACGCAUUUGUAAACUGACCUGUGUUUUGCUGCAGCGCUGCUGUUUUGUGCAAAUGUGAGGAUCGGCUUUUAGUAAAAGUAAAUUGUCUCUUCAGACUGAAGGGAUGUUGUUGUUCAAAGAAGACACAUCUCCAUCAUUUAUCCUGAGAUGAAAGGACAUUGAUAACAUCUGGUGGUUUAAAGUGAAUCUGGGCAAUCUCAUCUAUUUACAUCAAAACAAACUGGUCCGCUGUUUCUAAACGGACAUUCACAUCAUGGCUCAUGAUCAAGGUGAAGUAAUUAGUCUCUAAUUGUUUUUUUUAAUCUUUUAUUUCAUUCACAAUGUAUAAAAUAAACACAAACAAAUACAGGAUACAUUAACAUAUUGAAAAAAAAACAUUUGAAUGAAAAGGAGCAGAUAGAAGAAAAAAUCUUAUUUCUGCCCCUUUUUACGAAAUAAAAUUAUCUGCCAAGCAAACACAGUGUAACCUCAGUCACUUUCUAAUAUUUUCACGUCUAAUCUUUGACAUUAUAAUUCUCCUUUUCAUAAUUACUAAAUACAUUAGAUUUUAUACAUUUUUUAAAUAUUGCAAGUUAAAUAUUGCAUAUUCUUUAAAUUCCUUGUUAACGGCGUUCCACAAUCUUACACCAUUUACACAAAUGUUACAUUCCCUCACUUUGGUUCUGAAUCUAGGUUUCUCAAAGACAUCAGUUCCUUUUAACAUGUACCCACUUACUCUCUUAUGAAACAUUUUCUGAAUAUUAGUUGGUAGAUUACUCGUAUUCGCUCUGUACAUUAUUUGCAAUAUUUUCCACUCUACCAAGUCAGGAAAUUUCAGUAUUUUGUAUCUAAUGAAUUAUGAAUUAGUGUGAUCUCUAUAGUUACUGUUAUUAAUGAUUCUCAAUGCUCUUUUUUGCAAAAUGAACAAUGGUUGUGUAAAAGUUUUGCAAGUAUGUUAUGCAAGUAAUUGUUUUUUCUAAAUUUGAAUUUGAUUUGUUUAACCGUUUGAUUUAAAGCGUUUCUGUGCCAGAGGGAGUUAAAGCUGCAAUCUGGAGUUUUCCCACUUUCUGGAAUUGCUUUUGAUCAUUAGAAAUCUGUGAAAGUGAUAUAAUGCAGGCAACAUGUUCUGUGAUGGAGAAUUUAAAUGAAGCGUGUGGAAAGUAAAAUAAUUAGAUCAGAGCAGGUUUAUAUGUGAGAAAAUUGAUCAAUAAGAUUUAAUUUUCCUCUCAGAACCAACAGAAAUCUAAAUGUUGGAUCUGAAUCUUCCUUCCUGCAGCUCUGUAAUCUAAUAUUCAUCACGCACACGUUGCACCAAUGAUGCAGCAAUAAAAUAAUUCUCCUUUGAGCUCACCGAUCGUUCAGCGUGCUGCCACAAGAAGAUGUUUCGGUUCGCUAACGGCUGUGCUCGGGACAUUGUUUGCUAAAUUCCACUGUUGUUAAACAAAAAUAGAACAGCAUGGCCUUGUUUCAUACAUUACAUACAUUAUAGAGCUUUUGGGUAACGUGCUCUUCUGCCUCCACGAGCUAAAGCUUUGAGAAAUGUGGCAGAGCUCUGCAGUUGCAGCUCAGAGACUUUACUUAUUUAAAGUACGGAGUGAGGAACAUUUAUGAGCGGUCAGUAUCAAACCUACUUCAGACAGCUGUCAGAAUAAAAGUCCAAAGUUGGCCAAUAAAUGAUAAAUGACCCGCACUUGUACAGCGCCUCUCAGAGUAUGGACUCCAAAGCGCUUUACACUACAGCGCAUCAUUCAUCCAUUCACACACACAUUCCCACACUGGUGGUGAUGAGCUACGAUGUAGCCACAGCUGCCCUGGGGCGCACUGACAGAAGCGAGGCUGCCGAGCACAGGCGCCACCGGUCCCUCCGACCACCACCAGCAGGCAACGUGGGUUAAGUGUCUUGCCCAAGGACACAGCAGCAGAAUUCUCUGUCCGGAGCCAGAAUCGAACCUGCAACCUUCCGAUUACUGGACAACCCGCUCAUCCUGUUGAGCUACUGCUGCCCAAUAAGGAGUAUAAUCAAUCAAUCAAUCAAUCAAUCAAAUUUUAUUUCUAAAGCGCUUUUCAAACAAAGUGUUAUUCAAAGUGCUUUACAAAAUGACCCCAGAUUCCCAUAACAGGUUAAAAACAUAAACAAACAUAUGCAAUCACACGCACACACACACAGACUCACACACACACAC